UACGGGGGGGGGCAAGCGUUAUCCGGAAUCACUGGGCGUAAAGGGCGCGUAGGCGGCUGUACAAGUCAAAGGUGAAAUCCCUCGGCUCAACUGAGGAACUGCCUUUGAAACUGUACGGCUUGAGGCCGGGAGGGGGUAGCGGAAUUCCCAGUGUAGCGGUGAAAUGCGUAGAUACUGGGAGGAACACCAGUGGCGAAGGCGCUACCUGGACCGGUUCUGACGCUGAGGCGCGAAAGCGUGGGUAGCAAACAGG
rnacentral:rRNA from 1 species